UGCUUUACACAUGCAAGUCGAACGGCAGCACGGGGGCAACCCUGGUGGCGAGUGGCGAACGGGUGAGUAAUGUAUCGGAACGUACCCAGUCGUGGGGGAUAACUAUCCGAAAGGAUAGCUAAUACCGCAUACGUCCUGAGGGGGAAAGCGGGGGAUCGCAAGACCUCGCGCGAUUGGAGCGGCCGAUAUCGGAUUAGCUAGUUGGUGAGGUAAAGGCUCACCAAGGCGACGAUCCGUAGCGGGUCUGAGAGGACGACCCGCCACACUGGAACUGAGACACGGUCCAGACUCCUACGGGAGGCAGCAGUGGGGAAUUUUGGACAAUGGGCGCAAGCCUGAUCCAGCCAUUCCGCGUGAGUGAAGAAGGCCUUCGGGUUGUAAAGCUC
rnacentral:rRNA from 1 species